CAGUGAGAAGAUGAACUGAUGUUUCAAUAGGCUGCGAGCAAACUGGAGGCAGCAGACAGAUUUGGUUCUUCUCUCCUGCUGUCGCUGCCCCUAAAAGAGGAGACGGAGCAGGCCGUGAACCAACCUUUGCUCCACAGUGGUUGCGAGAAGAGGCUGCUGGUGCUGCCAUCUGCGCCUCGGAGCCGUGCUUCACACCUGGCUGCCCCUCCGGCCUGCUAGUCUGAGCUCAUUAACUUCCUGCAGGGGCACGGAGAGAGCAGCUGCAUAAAGGCCCGUCCCAGCGGAGACAGCGCCGCAGCCAGCGAACUGAUAAAGCAGGCGGGAGAGGAAGCAGCCGCAGCAUCUGUGGAGCCAGGGUGGAAAAUCUGACACUGUGGAUUAGCUGAUGCCGUGGCAGCAAAAAAAAAGGGAGGUCGGUAUACGGCUGGGAGCUGCGAGGGGGCCGACGGGGCCUUGUGCUCCUGAGCAAACACAGGCAAAUGCUCGCGUGGGCUUGUGUGUGUGCACGCGCGCAUAUGGCUGCGCUGUGCCGUGCCACGCCAGCUAAUUGUAGGUUCCCACAAGAAAGCCAAUAGAGAAGAAUUUCUAACCGUUGUGAUGUGGUCAUCUUGUUCUUGUAAAAGAAAAGCUGGUCUCUUUGUUUCGUGCUGGGGUUUUUGUUUUUUUUUUUCUUUUUGGUUCAAGAAUCCUUGUAAUGAAAUAAUGCUGUGAUUGUAUCUGUAGGGUUUUGUCACUGGAAGCUGUAUAUGCGUUUCCUCCCUAAGUCAUCGCCGGCGCAGUUUGGACAAAGAAUUGCGGUUUCUAGAUGUGUUAGUCAACACGAGCAGACUCCAGUUAGCCAUUGCCAUUUUCUGAAAAGGUCAGAUCGAUCUCUGCUACCUACUGGAGAAUUAAUGGCUACUCAGACUUUCACUUUGGAAAAGUCAUUGCAUCCUGUCUUAAACACAGUUCUCGUUUGUGCUGUUCCAAUCAAAUUCCAGUUCACUGGGACUUGUUCUAUUCAAAUGGCCGUGCUGCUUAAAAAGAAGAGUUCGGGGAUUAUUUGGAUUUUUAAAGACUGUGGUUACAACCUGCAGGAGUUAUAGCGUGAAGCAGACAUUACUGUUGAGCCAGGGUUUGGGUACAGAUGUAGAUGCAUGCAAAGACCACAGCUGUGUAGCGCUGCUGUGCAAAAUCUCUGCACGUGAGCUUGUCGUGAUGGUUGGCGAGAAAGCAAAAGGUGCUUUUGCUGCACUGCUGUGUCUAAAGCAAAAAGCCUUCUGCUUGCUUUGUGUGGGGGUUAGGCAAAGGCCUCUAUAAGAAUUGACCUGACCGCAACCGUGGGGAGAGAAGAAGAAA
rnacentral:lncRNA from 1 species